rnacentral:rRNA from 1 species
GAGUUUGAUCCUGGCUCAGGAUGAACGCUAGCGGCAGGCCUAAUACAUGCAAGUCGAACGGGGUUAAGUAGCAAUACUUAGCUCAGUGGCGCACGGGUGCGUAACGCGUAUGCAACCUACCUUAAACUGGGGGAUAGCCUUCCGAAAGGGAGAUUAAUACCGCAUAAGAUCACGAGAGGGCAUCUGAUAGUGAUUAAAGAUUUAUUGGUUUAAGAUGGGCAUGCGUGCCAUUAGCUAGUUGGUAGUGUAACGGACUACCGAAGGCGACGAUGGCGUAGGGGUUCUGAGAGGAUGACUCCCCCACACUGGUACUGAGAUACCGGCCAGACUCCGUAGGGAGGCAGCAGGUGGGAAUAGUUGGACAAGUGGGCGACAAGCCUGACUCCAGCCAUCGCCGCGUGGAUGAUGGAACGG